rnacentral:rRNA from 1 species
AAUGGGCGCAAGCCUGAUCCAGCCAUGCCGCGUGAGUGAUGAAGGCCCUAGGGUCGUAAAGCUCUUUCGCCAGGGAAGAUAAUGACGGUACCUGGUAAAGAAACCCCGGCUAACUCCGUGCCAGCAGCCGCGGUAAUACGGAGGGGGUUAGCGUUGUUCGGAAUUACUGGGCGUAAAGCGCGCGUAGGCGGACUAUUAAGUCGAGGGUGAAAUCCCGGGGCUCAACCCCGGAACUGCCUUCGAUACUGGUAGUCUUGAGGUCGAGAGAGGUGAGUGGAACUCCGAGUGUAGAGGUGAAAUUCGUAGAUAUUCGGAAGAACACCAGUGGCGAAGGCGGCUCACUGGCUCGAUACUGACGCUGAGGUGCGAAAGUGUGGGGAGCAAACAGGAUU